rnacentral:rRNA from 1 species
AGAGUUUGAUCCUGGCUCAGAACGAACGCUGGCGGCAGGCCUAACACAUGCAAGUCGAACGAAGUCUUCGGACUUAGUGGCGCACGGGUGCGUAACGCGUGGGAAUCUACCCUUAGGUGCGGAAUAACAGUUAGAAAUGACUGCUAAUACCGCAUAAUGACUCCGGUCCAAAGAUUUAUCGCCUAAGGAUGAGCCCGCGUAAGAUUAGCUAGUUGGUGAGGUAAAAGCUCACCAAGGCGACGAUCUUUAGCUGGUCUGAGAGGAUGAUCAGCCACACUGGGACUGAGACACGGCCCAGACUCCUACGGGAGGCAGCAGUGGGGAAUAUUGCACAAUGGGCGAAAGCCUGAUGCAGCGACGCCGCGUGAGGGAUGACGGCUUUCGGGUUGUAAACCUCUUUCAGCAGGGAAGAAGGCCUUCGGGUGGACGGUACCUGCAGAAGAAGCGCCGGCUAACUACGUGCCAGCAGCCGCGGUAAUACGUAGGGCGCAAGCGUUGUCCGGAAUUAUUGGGCGUAAAGAGCUCGUAGGCGGUUUGUCGCGUCUGGUGUGAAAACCUCAGGCUCAACCUGGGGCGUGCAUCGGGUACGGGCAGACUAGAGUGCGGUAGGGGAGACUGGAAUUCCUGGUGUAGCGGUGGAAUGCGCAGAUAUCAGGAGGAACACCGAUGGCGAAGGCAGGUCUCUGGGCCGCAACUGACGCUGAGGAGCGAAAGCAUGGGGAGCGAACAGGAUUAGAUACCCUGGUAGUCCAUGCCGUAAACGUUGGGCACUAGGUGUGGGGCUCAUUCCACGAGUUCCGCGCCGCAGCUAACGCAUUAAGUGCCCCGCCUGGGGAGUACGGCCGCAAGGCUAAAACUCAAAGGAAUUGACGGGGGCCCGCACAAGCGGCGGAGCAUGCGGAUUAAUUCGAUGCAACGCGAAGAACCUUACCAAGGCUUGACAUGCACCGGACGCUGCCAGAGAUGGUAGUUCCGCAAGGUCGGUGCACAGGUGGUGCAUGGUUGUCGUCAGCUCGUGUCGUGAGAUGUUGGGUUAAGUCCCGCAACGAGCGCAACCCUCGUCCCAUGUUGCCAGCGGGUUAUGCCGGGGACUCAUGGG